UCGAGGAUCUUCGGCAAUGGGCGCAAGCCUGACCGAGCGACGCCGCGUGUGCGAUGAAGGCCUUCGGGUUGUAAAGCACUGUCGAGGGGGAGGAAGCCGCAAGGUUGACCUAUCCCUGGAGGAAGCACGGGCUAAGUUCGUGCCAGCAGCCGCGGUAAGACGAACCGUGCGAACGUUGUUCGGAAUCACUGGGCUUAAAGGGCGCGUAGGCGGGCCGGCAAGUCCGGGGUGAAAGCCCCCAGCUCAACUGGGGAAGUGCCUUGGAAACUACCCGUCUUGAGGGAGGUAGGGGCCUGUGGAACUUCGGGUGGAGCGGUGAAAUGCGUUGAUAUCCGAAGGAACGCCGGUGGCGAAAGCGACGGGCUGGAUCUCUUCUGACGCUGAGGCGCGAAAGCCAGGGUAGCGAACGGGAUUAGAUACCCCCGUAGUCC
rnacentral:rRNA from 1 species